rnacentral:rRNA from 1 species
AGGAUUCCCUUAGUAACUGCGAGUGAAGUGGGAAAAGCUCAAAUUUAAAAUCUGGCAGUCUGAUUUUAUAUCUUUGGCUGUCCGAGUUGUAAUCUAGAGAAGUGCUACCUGUACUGGACCAUGUAUAAGUCUCCUGGGAUGGAGCAUCAUAGAGGGUGAGAAUCCCGUCUUUGACAUGGACUGCCAGUGUGUUGUGGUGUACUUUCAAAGAGUCGAGUUGUUUGGGAAUGCAGCUCUAAAUGGGUGGUAAACUCCAUCUAAAGCUAAAUAUUGGCGAGAGACCGAUAGCGAACAAGUACCGUGAGGGAAAGAUGAAAAGUACUUUGGAAAGAGAGUUAAACAGUAUGUGAAAUUGUUGAAAGGGAAACACUUGAUGUCAGUUGUGUUAGCUAGGGAUCAGCCCAGCUUUUUU